CUUAUAGUUGGAGGGGCCUGUAUCGGUUUAGUCGGACGGCGGAAUGGGUCUAAAAUUCAAGUGGAAAUUGAGAUUUUAAGAGAAAUAUUUUAAGGGAAGGGGAUUUUAUAUUGACGAGGUGCGGGAAAGCAAUCCAUGUUUAGCAGGACAUAUACGAGAUAAAUCAACAAAACUUGCAGCCAUAUAUAUUUUAGCUCAAUCUGUACCUCAUCUGUUGUCAUUUGUUUGUGUGCUCGAAUGAUGUUAUUAAACAUUUGUCCCUCCUCUACCCCUCAUUUACAUAUAUGAUUGUGGCAUUCAU